rfam:Escovopsis weberi scaffold00006, whole genome shotgun sequence.
GGUCAGAUGGCCGAGCGGUUAUGGCGCCAGGUUAAGGUCACCUUAACAGGAAAUUCCUGGUGGAGCAAUCCUCGUGGGUUCGAAUCCCACUCUGAUCA